AAAUUGAAGAGUUUGAUCAUGGCUCAGAUUGAACGCUGGCGGCAGGCCUAACACAUGCAAGUCGAACGGUAACAGGAAUCAGCUUGCUGAUUCGCUGACGAGUGGCGGACGGGUGAGUAAUGUCUGGGAAACUGCCUGAUGGAGGGGGAUAACUACUGGAAACGGUAGCUAAUACCGCAUAAUGUCGCAAGACCAAAGAGGGGGACCUUCGGGCCUCUUGCCAUCGGAUGUGCCCAGAUGGGAUUAGCUUGUAGGUGGGGUAACGGCUCACCUAGGCGACGAUCCCUAGCUGGUCUGAGAGGAUGACCAGCCACACUGGAACUGAGACACGGUCCAGACUCCUACGGGAGGCAGCAGUGGGGAAUAUUGCACAAUGGGCGCAAGCCUGAUGCAGCCAUGCCGCGUGUAUGAAGAAGGCCUUCGGGUUGUAAAGUACUUUCAGCGGGGAGGAAGGGAGUAAAGUUAAUACCUUUACUCAUUGACGUUACCCGCAGAAGAAGCACCGGCUAACUCCGUGCCAGCAGCCGCGGUAAUACGGAGGGUGCAAGCGUUAAUCGGAAUUACUGGGCGUAAAGCGCACGCAGGCGGUUUGUUAAGUCAGAUGUGAAAUCCCCGGGCUCAACCUGGGAACUGCAUCUGAUACUGGCAAGCUUGAGUCUCGUAGAGGGGGGUAGAAUUCCAGGUGUAGCGGUGAAAUGCGUAGAGAUCUGGAGGAAUACCGGUGGCGAAGGCGGCCCCCUGGACGAAGACUGACGCUCAGGUGCGAAAGCGUGGGGAGCAAACAGGAUUAGAUACCCUGGUAGUCCACGCCGUAAACGAUGUCGACUUGGAGGUUGUGCCCUUGAGGCGUGGCUUCCGGAGCUAACGCGUUAAGUCGACCGCCUGGGGAGUACGGCCGCAAGGUUAAAACUCAAAUGAAUUGACGGGGGCCCGCACAAGCGGUGGAGCAUGUGGUUUAAUUCGAUGCAACGCGAAGAACCUUACCUGGUCUUGACAUCCACGGAAGUUUUCAGAGAUGAGAAUGUGCCUUCGGGAACCGUGAGACAGGUGCUGCAUGGCUGUCGUCAGCUCGUGUUGUGAAAUGUUGGGUUAAGUCCCGCAACGAGCGCAACCCUUAUCCUUUGUUGCCAGCGGUCCGGCCGGGAACUCAAAGGAGACUGCCAGUGAUAAACUGGAGGAAGGUGGGGAUGACGUCAAGUCAUCAUGGCCCUUACGACCAGGGCUACACACGUGCUACAAUGGCGCAUACAAAGAGAAGCGACCUCGCGAGAGCAAGCGGACCUCAUAAAGUGCGUCGUAGUCCGGAUUGGAGUCUGCAACUCGACUCCAUGAAGUCGGAAUCGCUAGUAAUCGUGGAUCAGAAUGCCACGGUGAAUACGUUCCCGGGCCUUGUACACACCGCCCGUCACACCAUGGGAGUGGGUUGCAAAAGAAGUAGGUAGCUUAACCUUCGGGAGGGCGCUUACCACUUUGUGAUUCAUGACUGGGGUGAAGUCGUAACAAGGUAACCGUAGGGGAACCUGCGGUUGGAUCACCUCCUUACCUUAAAGAAGC
rnacentral:rRNA from 1 species